UGUUAAAAAAUUCAUCUAUUUGUACUGUUAAAAACUGUUGAAGAUGACUGAAUAACUAGAUAGUGACAAGUGAUGUGCCAUGUGUACCUCGUGCUAAUGUACAAGAACCAGUUUUUAAUAGUAGAAAUGGAUGGAAAUUUUAAUA
rfam:Gossypium hirsutum cultivar TM-1 unplaced genomic scaffold scaffold336.1, whole genome shotgun sequence